rnacentral:rRNA from 1 species
UUUCGCGUAUGGUGUGAACUCAGCAUCACAUGGUCAUCCACUGAAGUCAAGUAGGGCUGCGCCCGGUCAGUACUUGGAUGGGAGACCACAUGGGAAAACUAGGUUGCUGCUAGAA